UAAUCCACCGUGGUUCUUUCUCCAGAUACUGCACUGCCUUAGUUUCAUCAGACCUGAGGAGAACCUGGAAUGUCAGUGUAGGAUGAAAAGUAGUGGCUAAAGGAACACACUUGGUGCCAUUCCUGGCUUUGAUAAAAGCCAUACAGCCAGCUCCAGACUCUUGAUGAGCUACAAGUCACUAUUCCAGAAAGGUGCAGCUGGUGAAGUGUUCACUGAAGCACAGCAGAAAAAUGAGUACUGCAGGAAUCUGACAGGAUAAUGCAGAGUUUUGGUGCAGUGAUUUGCAAAAUAGAUGGGACACUGGAAAUAAAUUUUUGGUCUAUCUGG